CGUCGGAAGGCUCAACGCUCUUUUCAUAUAAUAGUUAUAUCUUACUUUAUACUUUAUGGAAUAAGAAGUAUGCAGUAUCUUCUAUUUGAUUUUAUAAUUUAAAUGUGUAUUUCGAAGCUUUAGGUGACGCGAUAUCAAUCGCAGAUUGCUUCCUUAUGACACAAGAAAAUUGCGCUAAAUCACAGUAUGCAGGCAUUUCCAUUGCUAACUAUUACAGGAGCCGAUGCGGAACAUAAUUGCUUCGCAAAAGCAAAAUCAUAUUGCGAUGUUGGCCUCAGAGCUUACCCAGUAUUUAAUCCAGAUGUCUUACUCUGCAAGCGUCUGCAGGUAUACGAAAGUUGUUUUGAAGGAAGUUUCCAGAAAUGCAAGUGGUUCUUCCAUAAUCUGCAUUUUUCAGUAUGCUCUGAAGGCAAAUCAUCGAAAAAUGAAGCUCUGUCCUAUGUUAAAUCACCGCACAAAUUAUUGAUGGUACUUAUUUUACGGCACAUGGUGUUAUGCUUUGAAAAUCCAUUAACACGAAAGAGUUAAAUACGGAAACAACGAAAAGAAAUGAAAGACAGGACAAAUAAACACAAAGAAACGACUUUUCAUCACUUGUCGGCUGUCUAUCUACUUCUCAUUUCGAGCAUUAUAAUAUAUUGUUUGUGCUAUAUAUACAUGCAUAUCUAUUUCUGUGUCUAUCUAUCUAUCUGUCCAUUUUCUAUCUAUAUGGCUGUGUGUAUGUUUGCCUGUGUAUUUCUCUAUGCAUGUUAACAAACUUUAUAUUCGUCCAAAUAAGCUUCUGCUACAUUUUGACUUCUAAUGGCCUUUUUAAUGCAAUUUACAAUAAAGAAAAUCCUUUCGAUUAUUAUACAAUGCCAGUACUUUUACAUUGCCUCUUUUUCAUUCUAGUCGACCAGAAAAUGCUAUAAAAUUCAUAACAAUAAUUAACACAGAACACGCGAAUUGUUUGGCUUUCUUUAAAGUGUUCAUUAGUUGAAUGCGAAUUGCUCUAAAGCGUAUUUGGUUGUACCCAUUGUACAUGUGGAAGAAAAGUGAUGCUAAUAAACUAAUAGAAAUGUGCUGCUGAAAGCAAUUGCUAUAGUGCGAAGUGGCAUUCAUCCGAUACUAGACACUGAAGCUUAGCAAAAAUAUUCCUUGAUAUAUCUAAGUUGGUAACUGUUGUAUUGAUAAAUGUGAAUGUUGACAAGUUGCAGUGUGAUUGUAUCGAAAUUAUAUGGCCUAUUUCAAACUUCUCCAUGAUUUGCGAUCAUUGCGCUCGUAAAUUGGUUUUAACAUGAACGCUCGUUUCAACUCGAUACCUCGCUAACUUCAAAGAUUCUUGUCAAAUGCAUAUGGAAGUACGAACUAUACCAUAUUCUGAAACCAAAAUGAUGUUUGUCUGAUAUAGAUGUUUACCAAUAUUGACAAGAGACAAUAGAUAUUUUGAUUACUUUUGAUGCUUUUAUUUUCAUUUUUAAAAGAUUUUUUAUUAACAUUGCUCCUCACCAUCAUAAAUUCUAAAAUUUUCAGUUUUGUUAGCGUGCCGUGCAACUGACCUUUCUGAAUAGCACCGCCCAAUAAGUUUUUUUUCCGUUUUCUGGGGAAUAUUUGCAACGAUGCAAAUGAUGUUCAGAAGCUUUUUUAUGAAAAGCAAUUUGGAAAUUAAUGAAUCCGAUUGUCUCCAUUUUCCAUUUUCCAAUCAUGAAGUUCAAAACAGAAAACAUCAUUGUAAACAAAACACGCAUCCGAAAAAUAGUAAAAAAAUAACAUCUGCGCCCUCUGACACGAAUGGACGGCAAGUAGACGAAUUUAUUUUGGUAGAAAAUCGAGUCAACCUGUGACUUAGCAGAACAACUAUACUCACACUUCAUUACAGAAUAUGGUCGAAAACUUUGAGUAUCGAUAAGAGUGUGAAAUGUGGAUAGUGCUGCAAUUGACAAUUGAUUUGAAAAACAAAAGUAGUAGAAAUCAGAUUUGAUGUACUAUGAAAAUCUUGAAAUCAAUACAGAACUUCGUAGGAAGUGUAAACGUGGUUAUAUAAUUAUAAAACGGGAACAAAGGUUCAAAACACGAUAUAUUUUUGGCGAUGAUGAUGGUAAUAUUCACAUUAGUUUUCAUAAAUGUGGUUGUGCCAUGAAGAAGAAUCGAUACAUUGAGUCUAUCAAAAAUGUAAGAAAAUUAAGUCACAGGAAGACUGACAGCAAGAACGUGUAUAUAUAGAAGGAGCAACCUCACAGAUAUCUGACAAUUAAUCUGGUAGUUGGCAAACUGGGAUGGUGAGUGGUUCCCGCAAUCGAAGUGACAACCUCAAUUCGGGGCAUUUGGGAUUACAUAUCAAUAAUUUAGCCUGAACGAAAGAACAUACAUAUACAAAUCUGUACUAAAUUUGAUGAAUAUGUUAAUUAAGUAAAAUAUGUUACAUGUCAACGAAUACACUAAAAUAUAUUUAGAGAUGACAUUAAUACAUCUAUAAAUGAAUCACAUAACAGUAAACGCACAUAUUAAUUUAGUGACGCAAACAUAUGUCACAUGAAUUUUCACUUUUUUUUUUUAUAUGUCAGUGUGAGAAAUGCUAAGUUUGAUAAAAGGUUGGUUUGAUUCUGCAAAUAUCUGCUAUGAAAUUUCUCAAGUGCAUAUGUUUUCUUAUUGUUGGAUGUGGUGCGGCUGAUUUCUGUUUUGAAAAGGCAAAUAGUACUUGCACCCAGGUCUGGAAGUCGUAUCCUACUAAAAGCCCAGAUGUUAACUACUGCAGACGAAUGCAAAUAUUUCAAGUGUGCAUGCAACUUACAGACGACGUGUGCGGUGAUUACUUCACGGAACUCAUUUAUCAGGAUUGUUUUGAUAAAAUACUUAUGCCAGUGACACUUAUUUCAAAUGUGGGGUCAUUCAAAUCCGUAUCCAAAUACAACAUAUUUGCGCCCCUCAUCAUAGCAACCUGGAUGUAAUGAAUUUCAAAAUCAACGGAUGAAGCUACAUUUCAUGGCAAAUAUUUAUAUUAGGAAGAUAGAAUGAUUACACACCUUGUGUAUGUAUUUAUUUUUUGGUUAAAUCAUAACUGCAUUUUAUUUGGAAGAGAGAGAUAACAGUUCACACUCUUAUUACUAUUAUUAUUACGGAGGUAAAUAAAAUUCUCAAAAAAUAAUAUUAAUA